UCCAGCUCUCACAGGCCUCCUGUACAGCCCCAAACUUGGCCCUGCCUGUGGCACUCACCUCCCACCCCAGAGUCCGCCCUCAAGGCAUUGCAGCAGUUCAGUCUCUCCAAGGAGGGGCAGCAGCUCACACAAAGCAACCCUCAUCUUGUUCUUGUUGGAUCUGUACUCCCCAGUUUCAGUCCCUUGUGCUCCGAGUUGUACCCUCCCCAGCAAUUCCUGUAUCCUCAGUUCCCCCUUACCUUCUGUCGGGCAAGGCCUCCGCUGCUUCCCACUUGGCUCCGAGUUGUACCCUCCCCAGCAAUUCCUGUAUCCUCAGUUCCCCCUUACCUUCUGUCGGGCAAGGCCUCCGCUGCUUCCCACUUGGCUCAUCAAACCGCUGACACCGCCCAAUAAUAAACAAAUUGAGAGACUCCCGUGAUGCUUAGCUCUAAGGCGGAAGUUUGAUUAAUACCAAAAAUUUUUAAAAGCAACGAGCAGGCACAAGAUCUAAAUCUACAAGAGACACCGUUAGGAGUGCAGAACUUCAAGCUACGCGUGGAUAACUUCCAUCUUCCCACAGCCGCCCCACCAUCACUUGGAAAGCACCAAGACAG
rnacentral:lncRNA from 12 species